UAGGGAAUAUUCCGCAAUGGGCGAAAGCCUGACGGAGCGACGCCGCGUGAGCGAUGAAGGUCUUCGGAUCGUAAAGCUCUGUUGUUAGGGAAGAACAAGUACCGGAGUAACUGCCGGUACCUUGACGGUACCUAACCAGAAAGCCCCGGCUAACUACGUGCCAGCAGCCGCGGUAAUACGUAGGGGGCGAGCGUUGUCCGGAAUUAUUGGGCGUAAAGGGCGCGUAGGCGGUCUCUUAAGUCUGAUGUGAAAGCCCCCGGCUUAACCGGGGAGGGUCAUUGGAAACUGGGAGACUUGAGUGCAGGAGAGGGAAGCGGAAUUCCAUGUGUAGCGGUGAAAUGCGUAGAGAUAUGGAGGAACACCAGUGGCGAAGGCGGCUUCCUGGCCUGUAACUGACGCUGAGGCGCGAAAGCGUGGGGAGCAAACA
rnacentral:rRNA from 1 species